CUCUUGCAUCCCGCCCCUUCCUCGCUCCGGUCCCGCCUCCGACUCCCCGGAGAGGCCGCCCAGCGCCAAGCCUGUUUGCCACCGCCGCCUGCCAGCCAGCUCGCUCCCUCCGUCUCUUGUCCCCCCACCAGCCUGGCGCUUGCUCUCCAGCUGCUGCUGCUGCUGCGGUCGCGCAAACGGGCUGCAACUCGCCACCUUCUCCUGCCUUUCCCCCCCUCCUAAAUCCACCGUGCAGCAGCCGGAGAGCAGCGGCCCCCGCGCCGUCCAACCGGGACCCGAAGACCCCCCCCCCAAAGAAGGCACUUCUUGCAAGCCGGGGCGGAGAAGGGGAGACGCCCCCCCCCCCCCCGAGGCCGUUGGGCAACGGAGCUCCUUGAAGAUUUUGACUACAAAGCUGGAAGGUGGAUUAUUUUUCCUGAAAACACAAAGACCAUGGGAGCUUACCUGUAGAAAUGGUUUGCGGCUUUAGUCAAGCUGGAGUUGACUAAAUGAAAGUAUGGGCUGUGCGUCAGCCAAGCAUGUUUCUGCUGUACAAAACGAAGAGGAAGCUCAGAAG